UGGUUCCCGCUCCCCGCUGGGAGCAGCGCGCGGCUUUGGCUCCUACUGCGCCGCCUAGUUCUGAAGGUAGAAUGGAAGCUGUACAAGUGGAAUCCCAUUGGUCUUAUAAGCAAGGGCCCAGCAGACACAGCAGGCGCUGAAUAUUAUAUUUGUGUCCGCGUGAAUGACUAGAUGAACAAGUGGAAGGAUCUGUCUGGAUGCCAAGCAGAGAGGCCCUGUCCAAAAAACUUUACGUGUGUUAUCUGACAAUCUCACAGCAGUAACCACGAGAAAGAAGCUGCAGCCUAGAGAGGUGAUGUGACAUGCUCAAGGUCAUGUAGCCAGGAAGCGAUGGAGCCUGAAUUCAAACCAGUCUGCCCCUCGACACCACACUAGAAUUACAAUGAAGUGGUGAUCCUCAGAGCAAACCCUCAUGUUGCAGGAAUGAAUGAAUGAACAAAUUACAGACACCUGGACUCAGUGGCAUGGCUGAAUGACAAUGUUUCCAGCUUUAAGGCGUUCACUGCCUUUAUUUUCUUGGGUCUCUGUUUUUGGAAUGGAGAGAGAACAGAGCGCUCUCAUCAAAUGAAGGACCGUUGCGUGCCAGAUUGAGCCUCUUGAGAUUGGAAUUGCGCUGUCUCCCUGGAGAGGCUCUGUGGAAAGUCAGGAUGUCUGCGCCGAAGACUCCUUGGAGAUCUUCUUGUCCAGAGAGGCAAAUCCACAGGCUCUUGUUUUUGUUUUGCUUUUCAGUCUACACAUGAAAAAAAAAAAAAAAAAAA
rnacentral:lncRNA from 1 species